UAGCUCUCGCUUUGUAUUGCUCUCUCUUUUCCGGUUACCAGGACUUUCUACCUCACGCUCUCUCCUCUUGGAUUCUCCGCGGCGCACGUUAACUCCGGCCGUUCUCUAACCUACGCCCCUCUCCCCGGAGGAUCAGAGAGAGUUCCUAGGGUUUGGUUGUAUUGGAUCGUCGAUUUUUACUAAAGAUCUGUAAUAGGAGAACAGUAAUCUGUGGGGCAAUUCUUUUGUGGUGGAGGGGAAAUCUAGGGCUAGGGUUUUGAUGCACUGGCGGAAAUCCAAAUCCGCCAAACGGGUUGCGUUUCGGGUCGGACCCCUGCCAUGGCCAAUCCCGGAGCCGGGACUAAGUUUGUGUCGGUGAAUCUGAACAAAUCGUAUGGGCAACCUCAUCACCAUCAACAUUCAUCUAAUCAGAGCUCUUAUGGAUCUAAUCGAACCCGACCCAGUAGUCAUGGUGGCGGCGCAGGAGGAGGAAUGGUGGUCCUUUCGAGGCCUCGAAGCUCACAGAAGGCUGGGGCGAAGCUUUCUGUUCCACCCCCCUUGAACUUGCCCUCCUUGCGAAAGGAGCAUGAGAGAUUCGAUUUGUUGGGAACAGGGGUUGGGCCCGCUGGUGGGGUUUCGGGAAGUGGGCCAAGGCCAACUUCGUCCGGUAUGGGGUGGACUAAGCCGGGCACGAUUGCAGUGCAAGAGAAAGAGAAUGAAGGGUUUAGUGAUCAUGGAGCUGAUGGAGUUGACCCAGGUUUGAGUAGUGUCGAUGGGGUGAGCAGGGGGAGCAGCGUGUAUUUGCCUCCCUCGGCUCGGUCAGGCAUGGCGGGACCCCCAGCUUCUGCUUCGAUUGGACCUCUACCACCACCAGCAGAGAAAGCGACCGUUUUGAGGGGAGAGGAUUUUCCAUCUCUGAAGGCUGCUCUGCCUUCCACAUCAGGUCCUCCACAGAAACAAAAGGAUGGUUUGAGUCAGAAACAGAAGCAAGCAGUUGGUAAUGAGUCAACCAAUGAGCAGAAGGUUGGUUCCCGUUUGAGCUCUCAUGGUGGUAUGCGCCCUCAAAUCCAACCAUCCCAUCAUGGUGUUGUUAAUGGUUUGAUCGAGAAGGGUGGUGAAAGUCACGGUUUUGGUGGUUCAUGGACAGCUCGGAAGCAGGAAGAGUAUUUUCCAGGUCCACUGCCGCUUGUUCGUGUGAAUCCGAGAUCAGAUUGGGCUGAUGAUGAGCGUGACACAAGUUUUGGUUUGACAGACCGGGGUAGAGAUCAUGGGUUUCCCAAGGGCGAAGCUCACUGGGAAAGAGAUUUUGAUAUGCCCAGGGUUAGCGUUUUACCAAAGAAGCCUGUUCAUAACCAUUUUGACAGGUGGGGUCAGCGUGACAAUGAAGCUGGAAAGGUUUUUUCCAGUGAAGUCUCCAAAAUGGACCCUUUCAGCAGAGAUGUAAGAAUGCCUAGUAAAGAAGGGCGGGAAGGAAACUCGUGGAGAACUGUCUCUCUUCCUAAAGAUGGAUUUGGUGUUCCAGGAGUUGAAAAUGAUCGAAGUAGUACCAGUGUGAGGCCGGCUACACUUAAUAGAGAGACAAUUAAAGAGAACAAAUACACAGCAUCACCAUUCCGUGAAAAUGGUAAUAAUGAUAUUGGAAGGACAAAUAUCGGGUAUGGACAGGGAGGGAGACACCUAAGGAACAACGCUACAGAUCUAUAUAGCAGCCGAGGGGCUGAAGGGAAUACACGAGACCGGUACAGCCAUGAACAGCACACCAAAUAUAGGGGCGAUGCUUUCCAGAAUAACUUGGUAUCUAAAUCCUCAUAUUCCUUGGGUGGUAAAGGGCUUCCUGUUAAUGAUCCGUUACUCAAUUUUGGUAGGGAGAAACGUCCAUUCUCAAAGAGUCAAAAACCCUAUAUGGAGGACCCUUUCCUCAAAGACUUUGAAGCUAUAGGUUUUGAUGGACGGGAUCCCUUUUCUGGGAGUCUCGUUGGGGUGGUUAAGAGGAAGAAAGAUGUGCCUAAACAGACUGAUUUCCAUGAUCCUGUAAGGGAAUCGUUUGAGGCCGAACUUUUGAGAGUCCAAAAGUUGCAAGAAGAGGAGAGGCAGCGGAUCAUUGAAGAGCAAGAAAGAGCCUUGGAACUAGCUCGAAGAGAAGAAGAGGAGAGAGAUAGGUUGGCUAGGGAACAGGAAGAAAGGCAGAGAAGGUUGGAAGAGGAAGCCAGGGAAGCAGCAUGGAGAGCAGAGCAAGAACGACUGGAAGCCAUGCAAAGAGCUGAAGAACAGAGGAUAGCUAGAGAAGAGGAGAAACAAAGGAUUAUUAUGGAGGAAGAGAGGAGGAAACAGGCUGCUAAGCAAAAGCUUUUAGAAUUGGAGCAAAGGAUUGCCAAGAGGCAGGCUGAAGCAGGGAAGGCUGGUGGUAAUUAUCCCGCUACUGCAGAUGAGAAGAUGUCCGAUAUGGUAAAUGAAAAAGGGAUGGCAGACAUCGGUGAUUGGGAAGAUGGUGAAAGAAUGGUGGAGAGGAUUACAACAUCAGCAUCUUCUGAUUCCUCCAGUCAUAAUAGGCCAUUUGAGAUGGGUUCUAGGCCUCACUUUUCAAUAGAUGGCUCUUCCACCCUGAUGGACAGGGGAAAACCUGUUAAUUCGUGGAGAAGAGAUGCGUAUGAGAGUGGGAGCAGCUCAAACUUCCUCAUCCAAGACCAAGAGAAUGGUCACCAUGGUCCCAAGAGAGAUUCAUCUGCUGGUCGGAGAUCGAUUUCUAGAAAAGAGUUCUAUGGAGGAGCUGGAUUUAUGUCUUCUAGGACUCAUCAUCGAGGUGGGAUUCCAGAACCUCACAUGAAUGAUUUCACUCAUCUUAGAGGGCAGAGGUGGAAUCUUUCCGGGGAUGGUGAUCAUUAUGGCAAAAAUAUGGAGAUGGACUCAGAAUAUCAUGAGAAUCUUGUUGAAAAGUUUGGUGAUGCUGGAUGGGGUCAAGGUCAUUCCCAUGGUACUCUUUAUCCUCAAUAUUCUGACCGUUCGUAUCCAAAUACUGAGGCAGAUGGGCCUUAUUCUUUUGGGAGGUCACGGUAUUCCAUGAGGCAGCCUCGUGUUCUUCCCCCUCCAUCACUAGCUUCUAUGAACAAGACGACCUACAGGGUUGAGAAUGAACAUCCUGGUCCUACUUUUCUGGAAAACGAGGUACGGUACAAUCGUCCAGCUCGAAGUGAACCUAACAUGCAGACUGGGUUUGAUGAUAGUCAUCAAGAGAAUCUUGAGCAACGUGAACUUGGUAAUGUCCAACAACAGAAUCCUGAGAAUCGGGAGCAAAAUUUUGAUAAUAACGCUACACCAAGGUGUGACUCGCAGUCUUCACUCUCUGUUUCAAGUCCUCCUAGUUCUCCAACUCAUCUAUCUCAUGAUGAUCGGGAUGAAUCUGGAGAUUCUGCGGUGGCAUCAGCUGCAGGAGAAGAAAAAGAUGCUCCCCUGUCAGAACAGGAGAAUGAACCUGUUGUCUUAUCGACCAAAGCUGAGGAAGAAAGUAUGGUGACCACCUCAAGUGCUGGUGAUGAUGAAGAAUGGACUAUAGAGAAUGAUGAGCGGUUGCAAGAGCAGGAAGAAUAUGAUGAGGAUGAAGAUGGAUACCAGGAAGAAGAUGAAGUGCAUGAAGGAGAGGAUGAGAAUGUUGACCUAAACCGGGAGUUUGAGGAUAUGCAUCUAAAGGAGAAAGGGUCACCUGACAUGAUGGAAAAUUUCGUUUUAGGCUUCAAUGAGGGUGUUCCGGUUGGCCUGCCAAAUGAUGAUUUUGAAAGGAGUUCAAGGAAUGAAGAAAGUAGUUUUGUGAUACAACAGGGAUCAACAGAUGCUUUUGAAGAACGUGGAUGUUGUGAUGGACAGGCCCUUAAACCUGUGGAUGUUGCUCCUCAAGUGAGCAGUGAUGGUUCUUCCAGAGUGUUCCAGGAAACUGAGAAGGCCAUGCAGGAUUUUGUCAUUCAACCCAAUUAUGCUCAUGCAUCAGCAGCACGUGAGAUUUUAGAUCAUGCGGAGGCUUCUAGUAGCUCUGGUAUGUCAGUUCAGCAUCCUGUCCCAUCUGUAAUCAAUCUGGCUUCACAUCCUUCAUCUAGUCAGACUGUGAUGUCUACUGUACCUGCUGUACCGAUUCAAACUGAGGUGCCUGUUAAGUUUGGGCUGUUUUCUGGUCCUUCUCUAAUACCACCUCCAGUUACGGCCAUACAGAUUGGCUCUAUUCAGAUGCCUCUUCACCUGCAUCCUCAGGUUGGCCCAUCCCUCACCCACAUGCACCCAUCACAGCCUCCUCUCUUCCAGUUUGGUCAGCUAAGGUACACAUCUCCUAUAUCUCAGGGAGUAUUGCCAUUGGCUCCUCAAUCCAUGUCAUUUACUCAACCCAAUGUUCCAGCCAGUUUUUCCUUAAAUCAGAACCCAGGAGGUCCUCUGCCAAUUCAACUGGGUCAAGAAUCUUCUGCUCAUAAUCCAAUGAAGAACAAUGCUGUGUCACUUUCAAUGGAUAACCAACCAGGCCUUAUUUCAAGUCAUCUGGAGCAUUCCCAAGGAAUUGUGUCAAAAGAGGUAAAUUCAUUUGCUGCUAGAGAGAAUGCUGGAAAAGCUGUUAAAAAGCAGCAGGUUCAAACAGAGAUUUCCAAUUGUGGUGAUGACAGUGGGCGGUAUGAAUCAUAUCAGCAGGUAGAAGAUCAGGGGCACCAUAAUUCAGUUGUGAAGAACUACAAUUCCUUGUCCAAUACGAGAGAAAGGCAGCCUCAAUAUGAAGCAGCAUCAUCUCAGUUGGUUUCAAAAGAAAAGGAUUUAAAUGGAACAAAGACUCAAGGGCCGAUAUCUGGUGGCAGAGGGAAAAGAUAUGUCUUCACGGUUAAAAAUCCUAGCUCAAAAUUAUCGUAUCCAGCUGCUGACACUUCUCACACAGACUUUAAUGGAUUGCAGAGGAGGCCCCGACGGAAUGUUCAGCGCACUGAGUUUCGAGUUCGGGAAAGUGCAGAUAAGAGACAAUCUACUGGUUUGGUUUCAUCUCAUCACAUUGGGGUGGAUGAUAAGUCAAAUACCAAUGGAAGGGGUACAGAAAUAUCCAUGAGAAGUGUGCCUCGGAAGGUGGCUGUGUCAAGUAAGCAAUUGAAACCGACACUAGACUCAGCAUACUUGACUUCAGGUCCAUCUAGAUCACAGGAGAUGGAUUCGGGGAGCAGAAAUGAAAAGGGAUAUGUAAAGGAAACCUUGCCGAGGAGUCACAGCAUCCUUCACUCCAGAGAGGGAAACCUUAAAAGGAAUAUUGGUUCUGAAGAGCUUGUUGAUGCUUCUUUGCAAAGUGGCAUUGUGCGCGUCUUCGAGCAACCUGGCAUUGAAGCUCCUAGCGAUGAAGAUGACUUCAUCAAGGUGCGGUCGAAGAGGCAAAUGCUGAAUGAUCGGCGGGAACAAAGAGAGAAAGAAAUCAAGGCAAAGUCUCGGGUCUCAAAGAUGCAGCGUAAACCUCGUUCUACUUCACAGAACACUAUCAUCCCAGCCAAGUUAAGUAAAAUUUCUGCAUCAACAAGUAGAGAAGCAUCAAAGAGCCUUCGGCCUGACCUUGUUUCGUCUGACGGACGGGGCUUGGCAAACAUUGAAGUAUCCUCCGGAUUUAACACUGCCAUAGUCUCACAACCAUUGGCUCCAAUUGGUACUCCUGCUGUGAAAACUGAUUCUCAAACUGAUGUGCGAUCCCAAGCAAUCAGAUCCCUCCAGACAGGCUCCGUUCCUACAGUAACUGGUGGUGGCAAGAGCAUUGGACCAGGAGAGAUUUUUGACAGCAAAAAUAAGGUCUUCCUUGGACCACAAGUGGUGAUUGACGUGGUCCUUGAUAAUGCCCGGACAUCAUCAUUGGGGCCUUGGAAUAAUUCAAGGAUUAAUCAGCAGGUUAUGGCCCUAACACAAACACAACUUGAUGAGGCUAUGAAGCCUGAACAAUUCGAUUCUAAUGCUUCUGUUGUAGAUCAUAAUAACUCUGUUAGUGAGCCCAUCAUGCCAUCAUCAUCCAUCUUGACAAAGGACAUGUCAUAUUCUUCUGCCACGAGGCCAAUCAACUCCCUGCUUACUGGGGAGAAAAUCCAAUUUGGUGCAGUUACAUCUCCAACAGUUCUCCCUCCUAGCAGCUGUGCGGUUUCUCUUGGUAUUGGCCCUCCAGGUCCAUGUCGGUCUAAUAUCCAAAUAUCUCACAAUCUUCCUGGAGCUGAGGAUGAUCGCAAUCUUUACUUUGGAAAGGAGAAAAAUGUCCCCAAAUCUUGUGUUCACUUGGAGGAUUGUGAAGCUGAAGCUGAAGCUGAAGCAGCUGCUUCAGCGGUUGCCGUUGCAGCCAUCAGCAAUGAUGAGAUUGUUGGAAAUGGGCUGGGUGUUUCCCCUGUCUCUGUGUCAGAUACGAAAAGCUUUGGAGCUGAUAUUGAUGGAAUAACAGCAGGUGUAGAUGGUGACCUGCAAUUAGAAAGUCAAUCAAGGGCAGAAGAAUCUAUCAGUGUUGCUCUUCCUGCUGAUCUAUCUGUUGAGACCCUGCCAAUUUCCUUAUGGCCACCCUUGGCGAGUCCACAAAACUCCUCAAGCCAGAUGCUUUCUCAUUUUCCUGGAGGACCGCCUUCUCAUUUUCCCUUUUACGAGAUGAACCACAUGUUGGGGGGGCCUAUCUUUGCUUUUGGACAACAUGAUGAAUCUUCAUCCACCACUCAAUCACAGCCCCAGAAGAGUAGUGCAUCAGCUUCAGGGCCACUUGGGACCUGGCCACAAUGCCAUUCUGGUGUAGAUUCAUUCUAUGGCCCUCCUGCUGGAUUUACCGGCCCCUUCAUCAGUCCUCCAGGAGGCAUCCCAGGGGUUCAAGGCCCUCCACACAUGGUUGUUUAUAGCCAUUUUGCACCAGUUGGACAAUUUGGACAAGCUGGCUUGAGUUUCAUGGGUGCCACUUAUAUCCCGUCUGGCAAGCAACCUGAUUGGAAGCACAAUCCUGCGUCAACUGCUUCGAGUGUGGGUGAGGGGGAUAUAAAUAAUUUGAAUAUGGUUUCUGCACAGCGCACUCCUUCAAACAUGUCCUCUCCUAUCCAGCAUCUUUCCCCUGGGUCGCCUCUCCUGCCAAUGCCUUCUCCUUUGGCCAUGUUCGAUGUAUCUCCUUUCCAGGUAUAGAUUGUGGGUAGGGGAAAGCCUCCCCUAAAAUGCUUUACACACACGCACGUCUCUAUGUAUGUAUAUGCUGGGCGGAGGUGAUUUUAAGCAGCAUAAUUCUUGUAGAGUCUUCUCCUGACUUGUCAGUCCAAGCUCGUUGGCAGCACUUUCCUGCUUCACCUCUUCAAUCUAUUCCCCAGUCAAUGCCAUUGCAAAAACUGGCAGAAGGUGCUCUUACAUCUCAAUUCAGCCAUGGGCCUGCUGUUAACCAGACAUUAACUGCCAACAGAUUCCCUGAUUCUCGAAGUUCAAUGCCAUCUGACAGCAGCCGGAAUUUUCCUGUGCCAACUGAUGCAACUGUCACCCAGUUCCCCGAUGAAUUAGGGUUAGUAGAUCCUGCAAGCUCCUCUGGCACUGGGGCUCAGUCACAAGCUGUGGUCACUAGUAGCUCAUCAGUAAGCACCGUUGCUGAUGCUGGCAAGACUGAUCUUCAAGCACGCAGUAGCAAAAACAGCAGUGGCCACAGCACAAAUUCCGUUUUUAAGACUCAGUCAUCUCAGCACAAGCAGUAUGGUCAUUCCUCGGGGUAUAGUUAUCAAAGAGGAGGUGGGGUUUCCCAAAAGAAUAGUUCGGGGGCCGAAUGGACCCAUCGCAGAAUGGGGCUCCAGGGAAGGAAUCAGUCUUUGGGUGCAGAAAAAAGCUUUCCCUCUGCAAAGAUAAAGCAAGUUUACGUGGCCAAACAGACUACAAGUGGGACAUCAACAGUGUCAUAAGGAACAUAAAACGGAACUACAUGGAUUCGAGGAGAAAAGCAUCAGAUUGACGCAUUUCUCGAAAUGACAAUUUUGGUUUACUUUUUGCAGCAUUUAUGGUACUACUGCUAGGAUCCAACUAGUGUUCAGGUGUGGUUUUUGUUGAUCUAUCGAUCUUUAUGAUCGUUUUCCCAAUUAAAGUUUGUAGAACUGGGUGGUAAAUACCAAAUUUUUAAUCUUCUAGGUAUUUUCGACGAGGAAGAGAUGGGUUUAUUGUGCUAUUGGUGCCUCGCAAUCGGUCGUAGUCCAUCAUGUAUGUUGGCUGCAAACCACAUUAUUAAUUUCUUGGGAUUGAUGUAUUAAUUUUGUUUUUUAAUGAUCCAGGUAAUAUUUUUUGCUUGUGAUGAAUGUAUGCCGAGGUUGCUUGUUUUA